rnacentral:rRNA from 1 species
CACGUAGGGCGCAAGCGUUGUUCGGAUUUACUGGGCGUAAAGGGCGCGUAGGCGGCCUCUGCAAGUCGACUGUGAAAUCUCCGGGCUUAACCCGGAAAGGUCAGCCGAUACUGCAGGGCUAGAGUGCAGAAGGGGCAACUGGAAUUCUCGGUGUAGCGGUGAAAUGCGUAGAUAUCGAGAGGAACACCUGCGGCGAAGGCGGGUUGCUGGGCUGACACUGACGCUGAAGCGCGAAAGCUAGGGGAGCGAACGGG